rnacentral:ncRNA from 1 species
AUAUAUACGAUGAGCGAGAGCAAAAAGUGUGGCGUCUACUUUUUCAGAGAGUCCGUGGCUGGUGAGAACGGAUAAAGCGGUCAGGCGAAUAUAUCACUCGUGAGUACUUUUCCUGAAAAAAGUAAGGAAAAGCGGAUAUCCCGUUAUCGAUACACCAAAGGAUAAUGCAGGGUGGUACCGCGUACAAACGCCCCUGUU